AGUGAACGCUGGCGGCAUGCCUAACACAUGCAAGUCGAGCGAACACACGGUAAGAUUGUGCUCCUGCGGGUGGCGGGGGGCGGAUGGGUAACGCAUGCAUCGGAUACCUCUUUUUCGGGGGGAAUAACGUGGGAACAGUGCUGCUAAUAGAGCAUAUAUCGAACGGGUGAAAUCAGGAGUUCAUGGCGGUUUUCGCGUCUGUAUUAGCCGAGGCCGCAUUAGAUAGUUGGCUUGGUAAGGGCCCACCAAGGCAACGCUCCGUAGCGGAUCUGAGAGGAUGAUCAGCCACACUGGAACUGAGACACGGUCCAGACUCCUACGGGAGGCAGCAGUGGGGAAUCUUGCGCAAUGGGCGAAAGCCUGAUCCAGCAAUACCGCGUGAGUGAUGAAGGUCUUCGGGUCGUAAAGCCCUGUUGUUAGGAAAGAAAAAAAGCGGGAGAAUCUACGCAUGUUCUGACGGUACCCAAAGAAAAAGCCCCGGCUAACUACGUG
rnacentral:rRNA from 1 species